rnacentral:rRNA from 1 species
AACGAGCUCAACCCUUGUUUUUCUUGCCUUUAUGGAACUCUNGAAAGACUGCUGGUUAUAAACCGGAGGAAGGCGGGGAUGACGUCAAGUCAGCAUGCCCCUUACACCCUGGGCUACACACGUGCUACAUUGGGCGAGACAAUGAGAUGCAACUCUGCGAAGAUUANCUAAUCUAUAAACUCGUUCUAAGUUCGGAUUGCAGGCUGCAACUCGCCUGCAUGAAGGUGGAAUCGCUAGUAAUCGCUGGUCAGCUACACAGCGGUGAAUCCGUUCCCGGGCCUUGUACACACCGCCCGUGGGGCGGGGGCGGCGGGCCGGGCGCGGGGCGCGGCGGGCGA